rnacentral:rRNA from 1 species
GACGAACGCUGGCGGCGUGCCUAAUACAUGCAAGUCGAGCGGACGAAUCGAAAGCUUGCUUUUGAUUCGUUAGCGGCGGACGGGUGAGUAACACGUGGGCAACCUGCCCUGUAGACGGGGAUAACACCGAGAAAUCGGUGCUAAUACCGGAUAACACGAAAUGUCGCAUGACGUUUCGUUGAAAGACGGCGCAAGCUGUCGCUACAGGAUUGGCCCGCGGGGCAUUGGCUAGUUGGUGGGGUAACGGCUCACCAAGGCGACGAUGCGUAGCCGACGUGAGGGGGUGAUCGGCGCCACUGGGAGUGAGACACGGCCCAGACUCCGAGGGGAGGCAGCGGUAGGGACUCUUCGGAGAUGGGCGAAAGUCUGACGGAGCAACGCCGCGUGAGCGAAGAAGGCCUUCGGGUCGGAAAGCUCUGUUGUUAGGGAAGAACAAGUAACGCAGUAACUGGCGUUAUCGUGACGGUACCUAACGAGAAAGCCACGGCUAACUACGUG